AGUUGAGCAAGCCGCUGCUACAGGCUAUUUCACAUGGCGCGAUUGUGGCGAAAAAGAUCGUUCUGUCGCGCACGUCACAGAGCAAUUUUCGCUGGCA
rnacentral:lncRNA from 1 species